rnacentral:rRNA from 1 species
GUGUCAGCAGCCGCGGUAAUACCGGCAGCUCGAGUGAUGACCGAUUUUAUUGGGCCUAAAGCGUCCGUAGCUGGCCAGGCAAGUCCGUUGGGAAAUCCACCUGCUCAACAGGUGGGCGUCCGGUGGAAACUGUGUGGCUUGGGACCGGAAGGCGCGACGGGUACGUCCGGGGUAGGAGUGAAAUCCUGUAAUCCUGGACGGACCGCCGAUGGCGAAAGCACGUCGCGAGAACGGAUCCGACAGUGAGGGACGAAAGCCAGGGUCUCGAACCGGAUUAGAAACCCCCGUAGUCC